UCUACGGGGCUGCAGUGGGGAAUAUUGGACAAUGGGGGCAACCCUGAUCCAGCCAUGCCGCGUGUGUGAAGAAGGCCCUCGGGUUGUAAAGCACUUUCAGUGAGGAAGAACGCCUGGUGGUUAAUACCCAUCAGGAAAGACAUCACUCACAGAAGAAGCACCGGCUAACUCCGUGCCAGCAGCCGCGGUAAUACGGAGGGUGCGAGCGUUAAUCGGAAUUACUGGGCGUAAAGCGCGCGUAGGUGGCUUGAUAAGCCGGUUGUGAAAGCCCCGGGCUCAACCUGGGAACGGCAUCCGGAACUGUCAAGCUAGAGUGCAGGAGAGGAAGGUAGAAUUCCCGGUGUAGCGGUGAAAUGCGUAGAGAUCGGGAGGAAUACCAGUGGCGAAGGCGGCCUUCUGGACUGACACUGACACUGAGGUGCGAAAGCGUGGGUAGCAAACAGGAUUAGAUACCCCGGUAGUC
rnacentral:rRNA from 1 species